UUGAAUCAUCGAAUCUUUUCCCUCCCCUUUCUCCUUUUUCUUAAUUCAUGUCUGUUUGAGGGCACCAUUUAACAAAUAAUGUGCAUUUCGUGUGCACACGUUGAUGAGCUUUCCAAAAUUAUGUAUUAUUAUUUUUGGUGGCGCAUAAUAAACAGCGCGAUGCUUUUUUUCAGUUCGAGUGUAGUAAAAUUUUUUCUUGCUUGGGUUGUGAAAAGCGUGAUCGCGCAAUGGGUUUGGCGAUUCUACUAACCCUGCCCCAACGCCCCUCUUUCUCGCGAAAGAAUAUUAAUCUUCAGGGCC
rnacentral:misc_RNA from 1 species